rnacentral:lncRNA from 10 species
AAGUUAAACAUAUCUUAAAUAGCUGCAGGACACACACCUAGGAUUAAUGUUUUUAAAAAGACAACAUGGUGAAAUUCAUAUUGGAAAAAAAAUAACUUGUUAAUAAUUAGACUUACACAAAGUUAGAAUGAUAAUGGUACCAAUAAAUUUCCAACCCCAAGUUUUCUGUUUCUUUGGGUUCCAUAUAUUCUAUCUGGCAUUAGAUUAAAGUUUGCUCUUUUUAAAAUUUGGAUUCACCUGAUUCCCGGUUAUCUUCCUGAUUUGACUGUAUUCAGAUAUGUCUAUGUGAAAUAUACAUCCAUGUCAGUGGGUGACACAGUGCUAUGUUCAGAUAAGGUAUUAUGAUUACAGAGACAGGAGAGGGAUACUUCCAAAGAAGUUAAAUUAUAACUAGAUCUUGAAGAAUGGAUAGAAAUUGGCUAGUUAGAAAGAAGAAAUGGUAUAUUAUAAAAAAUGAGCCAUGUAUACAAAGCCUCAAGGUUGGGCUACGGGCUAAGCAUGGAGUAUAUUUAGGGGAACUGCAGGCUGGAUUUUAAACUAAAUAUUAAAGAAUUGUGGCCUAUGAAGUAUUGCAUGACAUAGAAGACUUCCAAAUCAGAAAUUUAGACAUGAAAUGAUCUUAGGAAAUUUUGAGUAGGAGAUGGAGUUAGUGGCAUUACUGAUUUGUGGUGAUAAAAUAUUAACAUUAUUAAUACUAAUGAAAUUAAUAUUAGCUGAAAGUUGGUACCUAUUGUGCUAGAUACUUAAUAACUAAUUCAGUCCUGACAAUACUCUAUGAUGUAUGUAAUAUUAUUAUUAUUAUAACAAUUUUCCAGAUUUGCAAACCAAGAAAUAAAGUGGCUAAGAUACUUGUGCAAGUAACAGAAAUAGAACAUGAAAGAGCAGGCUUCUGAACUGGGCACAGCCUAGGUUCUUAAGUUCUGCAUUGAGUUUGUUAUUUGUAGGACAAAAUAAAGGGAAAACCUGCUGAGAAACCACAUAGGAGCCUAUUCUCGUGCAUCAGGUCUGAGCUUUUGAGGGACUAGACAUUAGCAACAACAGGAAAGGUCUGCAGGUGACCCUUUGGUUUUAUUUUACUCAGAGCAAGAUGUCUAUUUGGGUCAAAUUUAAACAUUUGAAGAGAGAAACUCUUACUCCCUGCUGCAGGGAUUAAUCUCACCACUAGUCCUUAGUCAACUUGGUCCAUGGAACAAUGUCCCCGGUGCUCUAACUAAUUCACUGGUGAUAUUUGCUUUCCCUGAGGGACAGUCAUUUUCUUAAUUCUACUCACUGAGUUUUGUUUCUGGAAAUGUUGCAGUCUAUUGACUAUGUAAACAUUGUAGUUGCUUUUCCAUGAAAACACAUAACAUUCCUAUUGUACUGUGUGUACUACUAUUGGCUUUUAGAAGAAAGAAAAUAUAAGUGACUUGGCACCACUGUGAAAGAUAGAACAUCUGUUUGCUUUGGAAUCCAAGAGAAGCUCUCCACAUGGCUUCCCUCUAAAGCAGAUUAGUAAGCAACUUGUGGAUAAAUUAUCCCAAGAGCUUCCUUACCCACAUGAUUAAGAUUUUAAUGUCCCCUACAACUGAUUCUGUCAUUUUAAUGGUUUCAUGAUAUCUAUUCUCUGUGGGACAGAUUUCUAAUGGUACAGGAAGCUGUGGGUUUCUCUGAUUUCCCCUAACUUCUCUUCUUAGGAUUUUAUGUCCUUUGCUGAUCAGCAGAACUUACCUUAGGAUAUGCUUCCCUGAAUCUUUUUUUUUUCUUUUUUCUUUUCCCACUCAUCCAUUUACAAGGUCUUACGAUAGACAGUGGGUUUACAAUGGAAAUUGUAAUUUCUUCAAGUAAAAAGAAAUGAA